rnacentral:rRNA from 1 species
AUUGAACGCUGGCGGCAGGCUUAACACAUGCAAGUCGAACGAUGAAACCUAGCUUGCUAGGUGGAAUAGUGGCGGACGGGUGAGUAACACUUAGGAAUCUACCUAAUAGCGGGGGAUAGCCCGGGGAAACUCGGAAUAAUACCGCAUAUUUUCUACGGAAGAAAGGGGGCAGAAUACUGCUCUCACUAUUAGAUGAGCCUAUGCAGGAUUAGCCAGAUGGUGGGGUAACGGCCUACCAUAGCGACGAUCCUUAGCUGGUCUGAGAGGAUGAUCAGCCACACUGGGACUGAGACACGGCCCAGACUCCUACGGGAGGCAGCAGUGGGGAAUAUUGGACAAUGGGGGGAACCCUGAUCCAGCCAUGCCGCGUGUGUGAAGAAGGCCUUUUGGUUGUAAAGCACUUUAAGUAGCGAAGAAGACCCCAUGGUUAAUACCCAUGGGCGAUGACAUUAACUACAGAAUAAGCACCGGCUAACUCUGUGCCAGCAGCCGCGGUAAUACAGAGGGUGCAAGCGUUAAUCGGAAUUACUGGGCGUAAAGCGAACGUAGGUGGUUAAAUAAGUCAGAUGUGAAAUCCCCGAGCUUAACUUGGGAACUGCAUCUGAAACUGUAUAACUAGAGUAGGUGAGAGGAAAGUAGAAUUCCAGGUGUAGCGGUGAAAUGCGUAGAGAUCUGGAGGAAUACCGAUGGCGAAGGCAGCUUUCUGGCAUCAUACUGACACUGAGGUUCGAAAGCGUGGGUAGCAAACAGG